rnacentral:rRNA from 1 species
GACGAACGCUGGCGGCGUGCUUAACGCAUGCAAGUCGAACGGAAAGGCCCUGCUUGUGUGGGGUGCUCGAGUGGCGAACGGGUGAGUAACACGUGAGUAACCUGCCCUGGACUUUGGGAUAACUUCAGGAAACUGGGGCUAAUACCGGAUAGGAGCUCCUGCUGCAUGGUGGGGGUUGGAAAGUUUCGGCGGUUGGGGAUGGACUCGCGGCUUAUCAGCUUGUUGGUGGGGUAGUGGCUUACCAAGGCUUUGACGGGUAGCCGGCCUGAGAGGGUGACCGGCGACAUUGGGACUGAGAUACGGCCCAGACUCCUACGGGAGGCAGCGGUGGGGAAUAUUGCACAGUGGGCGGGAGCCUGAUGCAGCAACGCCGCGUGCGGGAUGACGGCCUUCGGGUUGUAAACCGCUUUCGCCUGUGACGAAGCGUGAGUGACGGUAAUGGGUGAAGAAGCACCGGCUAACUACGUG